UACGUAGGGUGCAAGCGUUAAUCGGAAUUACUGGGCGUAAAGCGUGCGCAGGCGGUUGUGCAAGACAGAUGUGAAAUCCCCGGGCUUAACCUGGGAAUUGCAUUUGUGACUGUACGGCUAGAGUGUGUCAGAGGGGGUAGGAAUUCCACGUGUAGCAGUGAAAUGCGUAGAGAUGUGGAGGAAUACCGAUGGCGAAGGCAGCCCCCUGGGAUAACACUGACGCUCAUGCACGAAAGCGUGGGGAGCAAACAGG
rnacentral:rRNA from 1 species